rnacentral:piRNA from 1 species
CCUUCAGGGGAUCAUCAGUGUACAC